GACGAACGCUGGCGGCGUGCUUAACACAUGCAAGUCGAACGGUAAGGCCCUUUCGGGGGUACACGAGUGGCGAACGGGUGAGUAACACGUGGGUGAUCUGCCCUGCACUUUGGGAUAAGCCUGGAAAACUGGGUCUAAUACCGGAUAGGACUACGCGAUGCAUGUCGUGUGGUGGAAAGCUUUUGCGGUGUGGGAUGGGCCCGCGGCCUAUCAGCUUGUUGGUGGGGUGAUGGCCUACCAAGGCGACGACGGGUAGCCGGCCUGAGAGGGUGUCCGGCCACACUGGGACUGAGAUACGGCCCAGACUCCUACGGGAGGCAGCAGUGGGGAAUAUUGCACAAUGGGCGCAAGCCUGAUGCAGCGACGCCGCGUGGGGGAUGACGGCCUUCGGGUUGUAAACCCCUUUCAGCACAGACGAAGCGUAAGUGACGGUAGGUGCAGAAGAAGCACCGGCCAACUACGUG
rnacentral:rRNA from 1 species